rnacentral:lncRNA from 1 species
CAGGAUGCUGCGGAUGUACAGCACGUCCUGCUGGCUCUGCACGAAAGAGGCCGCCACAAAGUCCAUCUUGUGCUUGACGCAGAAGUUCUGUAGGUCGUCAAUGUCCUUCUUGGUGAGCACCGGGAUGUCCACCUUCACGCCCGGCAGGUUGCAAUUCUUGCGCUGGCCCAGCUUCUUGGUGUUGAGCACAGUGCCGAUCAACGUGGUGCCGUCCACAAUCUAUAACAGAAACGACAUAAAGGGAGUUCGGACAGGGCGGGGUCAGUCUGCAGCAUUCCAAGCCGUCCGUGGGCCUUUGUCGGCAGCAAGCUAGUGUGACAAAAUACAGGUGCAAAAGUUAGAACCCCAGCGGUGGCAAGACCCAAACCCAAGGAGCGGUGGUAUGCGCUGUGGCUCAGCAGGCUCACCUCGUCAACGACAAUGCUGAUGCUGCCGUCUGCCAGCAGGAUGCGGUUGCCGGCCUUGACGCUGCUGCACAGCUUGCCGUAUGACAGACCGAUGUGGGUCUCACCAGUGGCGGCGUCCUUGUAGCCCUCCCACUUCACGUACUCAUCGCCCACAGCGUGGAUGGUCACCUGCGCACAGCCCGUUGCAGUGGCACAAGCGUUGGAGCCAAGGCAGCCGAUAAGACACUGAGGGGCGCUGACGCCGCGCACAACCCGUUGCAGUGGCCCAAGCAGGCCGCACCGGUUUAGGGGCGCUGACGGCGCUGCUGACCCAAGCUUCCCCUUUGACUUCCUGUCCGCACCUUCUGGUUCGCCACCAGCUCAAUGUCCUUGCCGUCCUUCAGCAUGGCGGUGCGGAUCUCCGGGCCCUUGGUGUCCAGCAGGCAGGCCGCAUGGCUGUCCUUCUCCGCGCAUACCUUGCGCCACCGCUGCAGCACGGAGAAGUGGCCCUCGUGGUCGCCGUGGCUAAAGUUGAGGCGCACGAUGUUGCACCCCGCGUCCAGCAGCUUCCCCAGUCCCUCCUCGCUCCAGCAGGCCGGCCCGGCCGUGCAAAUGAUCUUCGUCUUGCGCACGAUGAACUUCCACUUCUCCUCGUCCAGGAUGGUGUCCAGGCCCACCUGCGACAUAGGCCACAGACACGGCCAUUGAUACAACGGAUACGUCAAGCCCUUGCGCCGUGCGUCUUGCAACAUCUUUCAAAGAGGAUGUGGAGGUGCGCUGACUGCCGGCGUUGCCAUGCAGACAUGCAAUCCCUCGCUUCCGCCGGCAUCCGGCCCGCCUCCCUAUCUUAGUUCCAAGAUGCAACCGCAAACCACCAAUCGCACCUUGGUGGAGCGGUGAAACACCACCUUGUCGCCUGGGUAGCGCGUGUGUGCCACCUCGUUGAUGGGCGCCUUGCCGUACACCAUGGCGCGGGCCACCAGACGCUGGUCGUCGUAAAUCUGUGCGGUUGCGUAGUUUCGGUUGCGGGUGAGUAAGAAAUUGGUGAGAUGCAUCCAGUGAGGUUUUACUUCAGGAAGGGCAGAUUCACGUGCACCCCUUGGCCAGGCCAGGUGACUCCCCGUUACGCGCGUGCCAAAGCCGGCCUACCCACCCGCCCGUCCGCAACCUUCCCCAACACUAGCGAGUGUGCGCCCAGCACCCAACGCACCAUGGUCUCCGGCGAGGCCUUGCGGCGCUGCAGCACUACGAUCUGGUCGCCGUCCGUCACAUCCGCCAGGCCGAACGAGCGCGCCGCCGCCGCCGCCAGCUCCACCAGCUUGUUCAGCUCCACCGACUCGAUGUCGGGCACCAGCACGCCCACCUGGCCGAACACCGACCUGCAGUGCCGCACCAGCUGCGCGUCCGGCGUGACCACCACCACCGGCAUGGGCGGGCGGUACUUGGACACCAGCGCCACACCGCGGCCCGAGGUGGUGAUGCACACCAUGAGCUUGGCGUCCGUGUCGAUGGCCGUCAUGACGGCGCCACUGGCCACCGCCUCCGCGCCCCUCAUGGGCUUGGGCGUGUGGUUGCGCAGGAAGCGGAAGCGCUUGUUCACCUGCGGUCCACGGCGUGAAAGGGCGCGUGAGCGUGGCAUUGCGUACCCCGCGAACCGCGAGAGGCGCAAGGGGCAGCGCAUGUAGGACUGGCGGGACACGCUGCGUUCGCGUACGCCAGGCGCGAGCUCACCUCAACCAUCUGCUCCGCGUUGAGGCAGAUGGCGGCCAUGGUGGACACGGCGGCCUCGGGGAAGGAGCCGUUGGCGGUCUCGCCUGCAAAGUGUGUUUGCGCAGCACGCGGACGCAAACGGUUAGCAAUGGAAUGCACACAUUGUGAGGCUUUCCCGCAUGGGAGGCAGGGCACCAGAACCUGGCCUCAAACGAAAGCCAACUGCGCCUCGCAGUGGACGGGACGGGAGAAACCACAGACCACAGGGUGAUGGCCGCCUUACCUGAUAGCAUGACGCAAUCGGUGCCGUCCAGCACGGCGUUCGCCACAUCCGUCAUCUCCGCGCGCGUGGGGCGCGGGUUGCUGAUCAUGGACUCCAGCAUUUGCGUAGCCGUGAUGAUGAACUUGCCGGCGAUGUUGGCUUUGGUGAUCAUCAUCUUCUGCGCCAGGGGCACCUUCUCCGCAGGAAUCUCCAUGCCCAGGUCGCCGCGGGCCACCAUGAUGCCGUCGCUCUCCCGCAAAAUCUCGUCAUAGUUGACCAGGCCCUCCGCGUUCUCAAUCUUGGAGAUGAUCUUGACACGGUGGCCGCCGGCCUCAUCCAGCACGCGGCGGAUGAACUGCACAUCGGCCGCGCUCUGCACGAAAGAGGCCGCCACGUAGUCCAUCUCGUGCUUGGCGCAGAAGUUCUGCAGGUCGUCAAUGUCCUUCUCGGUCAGGACCGGGAUGUCCACCUUCACGCCCGGCAGGUUGCAGUUCUUGCGCUGGCCCAGCUUCUUGCUAUUCAGCACCGUGCCGCGCAGCAGGUUAGCGCUGCAGACCUCCUCCACCACGAUGCUGAUGCUGCCGUCCGCCAGCAGGAUCUUGUUGCCCUGCUGCACGCUGCUGCACAGCUUGCC